rnacentral:misc_RNA from 1 species
GAUGAAGAACGCAGCGAAAUGCGAUACGUAAUGUGAAUUGCAAAUUCAGUGAAUCAUCGAGUCUUUGAACGCACAUUGCGCCCCCUGGUAUUCCGGGGGGCAUGCCUGUCCGAGCGUCAUUGCUGCCCUCAAGCACGGCUUGUGUGUUGGCCCCGUCCUCCGAUCCCGGGGGACGGGCCCGAAAGGCAGCGGCGGCACCGCGUCCGGUCCUCGAGCGUAUGGGGCUUUGUCACCCGCUCUGUAGGCCCGGCCGGCGCUUGCCGAUCAACCCAAAUUUUUAUCCAGGUUGACCUCGGAUCAGGUAGGGAUACCCGCUGAACUUAAGCAUAUCAAUAAGCGGAGGA